rnacentral:rRNA from 1 species
ACGUACGGCCAUAGAUACUGGAAAAUACGGGAUCCCGUCCGCUCUCCCCUAGUCAAACCAGUAAUCGGCGGAUUAGUAGUUGGGUCGGUGACGACCAGCGAAUCCCCGCUGCUGUACGUU